UACGUAGGGGGCAAGCGUUGUUCGGAUUCAUUGGGCGUAAAGGGCGCGUAGGCUGCGGGGCAAGUCGGGUGUGAAAUCUCAGAGCUCAACUCUGAAACUGCACUCGAUACUGCUUUGCUUGAGGACUGGAGAGGAGAUUGGAAUUCACGGUGUAGCAGUGAAAUGCGUAGAUAUCGUGAGGAAGACCAGUGGCGAAGGCGGAUCUCUGGACAGUUCCUGACGCUGAGGCGCGAAGGCCAGGGGAGCAAAACGGGG
rnacentral:rRNA from 1 species